GAUGAAGAACGUAGCGAAAUGCGAUACGUAAUGUGAAUUGCAGAAUUCAGUGAAUCAUCGAAUCUUUGAACGCAUAUUGUGCUCUUUGGUAUUCCGAAGAGCAUGCUUGUUUGAGUAUCAGUAAACACCUCAAAGACUUCAAUUUGUUUUGAAUGGCUUUGGACUUGAGCAAUCCCAACACCAGUCUUUACGAUCGGUGGAGGGUUGCUUGAAAUGCAGGUGCAGCUGGACAUUCUCCUGAGCUAAAAGCAUAUUUAUUUAGUCCCGUCAAACGGAUUAUUACUUUUGCUGCAGCUAACAUAAAGGGAGUUUGACCGUAUUGGCUGACUGAUGCAGGAUUUCACAAGGGUCGGCAACGAUUCUUGUAAAACUCGAUCUCAAAUCAAGUAAGACUACCCGCUGAACUUAAGCAUAUCAAUAAGCGGAGGA
rnacentral:misc_RNA from 1 species